GAAAAACCCCUACAUAAACAAACACAUGGGCGCAGACAUUUUGGACACCCAAGGUUGUGCGGAGGAGAAAAUGCUACCUGGCGCGUGAUUGGUCAAUAAGAGAAAAGACUUGUUAUGUAUUUGACAAGUGAAAUAAAGUUGAUAAAAAUCUCAUAUCAAGACUUGGGUUUCUUUGAGAUAUAUAGGAGUUACAGGUAAAAAUUUGAAGGGAGGGGUGCCCUUUGGUUAGAGAUUUUCAUUUGGUGUCAAACGCACCUUGUUGUAAACAAAUGGAAAUUGAAAGUAAAAGUGCCGCGUGACGGUAUAUUUUUUCUGGCAUGUUUUGUUUUCCAAUAUCUCGAACUUUCACGACAAAAAGGCCAUUUGCCCGAAAUUCAAUAUAUGUAUGAGUGACAGGGGCUGAAGUUUGUAUGGAAGUCUAUGGGAAAACAUUUAGUGGUGUUUGUCCUAUAGAAUAGCAAUGUAUUCUCAAGAAGGAAGAGAUUAAUGAACCCUCCCCUCUUACAAUGAACAACACAUGGACACUCUCAGGAUGGUCCCUUUGCUUUCAUUAAGAGUUCCAAGAUGUGUGUCUGAUUGACUGGGGUGUGAAAUGUAACAGCCAAUGGUGUACCUAAGCUAAGACUGUCAGUCCCAAUAUUCAAGAGGAAAAACCCCUACAUAAACAAACACAUGGGCGCAGACAUUUUGGACACCCAAGGUUGUGCGGAGGAGAAAAUGCUACCUGGCGCGUGAUUGGUCAAUAAGAGAAAAGACUUGUUAUGUAUUUGACAAGUGAAAUAAAGUUGAUAAAAAUCUCA